rnacentral:hammerhead_ribozyme from 1 species
AUCCAGCCGAUGAGUCCUAAAUAGAACGAAACGCGUGUCCUGGAU